CAAACUGAACCAGUGCGAAUGCUAUUGAAAAAAAAACGGCCAUAAUUAUCUUUUUUCUUUCUCUUUCCUCGAUCUCUCCUCCUCUCUCAUCUGCCUCUCUCUCAUCUCGCUCUCCCUCCUCUCGAACUCUCUGUCUUCUCUCUCUUCUCGCUCUCUUUUCCACCACCAACCACCACCACCGCAGUCAUCUAAUGGCGACGCUUCUCCUCACAAGGUUUAUCCUUCCUUUUUUUUUUGUUAAUUUUGUAUAAUUUGGGUUAGGGUUUCAAUUUCGUUGAGUUUUUGGGUUUUGAUUUGGAUUUUGUGAUUUGGUUGUUGUGUUUGAGUUUGAAUUUGUAUGUGAUGUUUGAUUUUGUCCCUCUUGUCCGAUGAUUAUUGUAAUUUUUUGAUUCCCAGAAACCCCCUUUUUAAUUUUUCUUGUAAUUUUGAUAUCUAGGUGUUUCAACUUAGUUAGAUUAUGGGUUUGAUUGGGUUUUAGUAGCCUUAGCAGACUUGAUAGUAAGUUUUGGGGUUUGAAAUCAGAUUCCACAACUCAGUUUUAUUGCGAUUGAUCUAGGGUUUUGUUAAUUUGUUUCAAUAAUUGCGAUUGAUCUAGGAUUUUGUGAAUUUGAGCUUUUGGACUUGUGAAUAUACGGAACACGGAAUGAAUUAUGGGUAUACGGAGUAUUUGAAUUGUGAGUAUUUUUGAGUAUUUAAUACUUGAAUUUUGACAUUUCAAUAAUUUGAUUUGUGGAUGUAUUGUGAAUAUUAUAUUGGUUGUCAUUUAAUUUGAUUUUGUUGGUAUAUCUAAGAACACUUAAAAUGUGCGGAGUAGAGUAGCAUACAUGCAUGAAGAUUUACUGUUCUGCAUUAUGCAGGCACAUGCUGCUUCAACUGUUCUUAAUUUUAGCGAGAAAUGCAUUCCACAUAUCUUAACUCCUUACAUGGAUGGGGUGGUGAGGAAAUUACUUGUUCUGUUACAAGUAAAUAUAAGUUGUGCAUUUUUUCCUUUCCUUUCCUUUUUUUUCUCUUGGAUAUAAUAACAUCUUAUACCUUGCAAAGCUUCUUGGUUAUUUUGAUUUUUACUGUGUUUAUGUGAACAAUUGCACAUCAAUUUAGAAUGGAAAACAAUUGGUUCAAGAGGGAGCCUUGAUUGCAUUGGCAUUAGUCGCUAUUCUUCUCAGGAGCAUUUUAAAAAAUAUUAUGAUGCUGUCAUGCCUUACUUGAAGGCUAUCCUUGUUAAUGCAACAGACAAAUCUAACCGGAUGCUUCGAGCAAAAGCAAUGGAAUGCAUUAGUUUGGUUGGUAUGGUUGUUGGCAAGGAGAGUUUAGGGAUGAUGCUAAACAAGUUUGUUAAGUCAUAUUAGUGGAGGCUGAAGUCAGGCUUUUCUUUUAAAUGAAGAAGCUGAAACUUUGGGUUCAAUGCAAGUCUGUAAUAGGCUCCUUCUUCAAUGGCAGUGGCAGAUGCAGAAAAUCCUCUUACAGGAGAAACCACUUGUGGGUCUCUACUACAGCAGUUACAGCGAAUAUGGGAUGAAGUUGGUGAAAGUGAUGAGGAUAGGGACAAGAUGGAUAAAACAGGAAUGUCUGAUGUUGUUUACAAAUGGAAAGUUGACCUUUUAUGUAUAUUAUGAUUAUAUAUAAGUAUUUGGUACAAUUUAAGUGAAAAAAAUCCUAAAUAUUUUUUUAUGGCCAUAAAGGGCACUGGUUUUGGUUUUGAACCAGUGCCAAAAGUUUUUUUUUUAAUUUUUCUGGGCCAUUAUUCGCACCGGUUCUGAACCGAUGCUAAUGUUUUUUUUUUUGGAAUCCCUUAAAUCUACACCGGUUCAAAACCGGUGCUAUAUGGGGGUUUAAGUCGAUGCCCAUUUACAUUUUUAGCCUAGUGUAUGCAUUGUUACUUGUUUUUUUGUUGUAAAAUGCAUGAGCCCGGUUAGGAUAGUAAAUACGGACUG